AGUGAACGCUGGCGGUAGGCCUAACACAUGCAAGUCGAACGGCAGCACAGUAAGAGCUUGCUCUUACGGGUGGCGAGUGGCGGACGGGUGAGGAAUACAUCGGAAUCUACUUUUUCGUGGGGGAUAACGUAGGGAAACUUACGCUAAUACCGCAUACGACCUACGGGUGAAAGCAGGGGAUCUUCGGACCUUGCGCGAUUGAAUGAGCCGAUGUCGGAUUAGCUAGUUGGCGGGGUAAAGGCCCACCAAGGCGACGAUCCGUAGCUGGUCUGAGAGGAUGGUCAGCCACACUGGAACUGAGACAAGGUCCAGACUACUACGGGAGGCAGCAGUGGGGAAUAUUGGACAAUGGGCGCAAGCCUGAUCCAGCCAUACCGCGUGGGUGAAGAAGGCCUUCGGGUUGUAAAGCCCUUUUGUUGGGAAAGAAAAGCAGCAGGUUAAUACCCCGCUGUUCUGACGGUACCCAAAGAAUAAGCACCGGCUAACUUCGUG
rnacentral:rRNA from 1 species